rnacentral:rRNA from 1 species
UACGUAGGGUGCAAGCGUUGUCCGGAAUCAUUGGGCGUAAAGCGCGCGUAGGUGGCGAGGCAAGUCGGGUGUGAAAGCCCUGGGCUCAACCCAGGAAGUGCACUCGAUACUGCCUAGCUAGAGUCCCGGAGAGGUUGGUGGAACUCUCGGUGUAGAGGUGAAAUUCGUAGAUAUCGAGAAGAACACCGGUGGCGAAGGCGGCCAACUGGACGGUGACUGACACUGAGACGCGAAAGCGUGGGGAGCAAACAGG